rnacentral:rRNA from 1 species
AUACGUAGGGGGCGAGCGUUGUCCGGAAUGAUUGGGCGUAAAGGGCGCGUAGGCGGCCCGGUAAGUCUGGAGUGAAAGUCCUGUUUUUAAGAUGGGAAUUGCUUUGGAUACUGUCGGGCUUGAGUGCAGGAGAGGUAAGUGGAAUUCCCAGUGUAGCGGUGAAAUGCGUAGAGAUUGGGAGGAACACCAGUGGCGAAGGCGACUUACUAGGCUGUAACUGACGCUGAGGCGCGAAAGUGUGGGGAGCAAACAGGAUUAGAUACCCUGGUAGUCCACACUGUAAACGAUGAAUGCUAGGUGUAGGGGGUAUCGACCCCUUCUGUGCCGCAGUCAACACAAUAAGCAUUCCGCCUGGGGAGUACGGCCGCAAGGUUGAAACUCAAAGGAAUUGACGGGG